AUUGAACGCUGGCGGCAGGCCUAACACAUGCAAGUCGAACGAGUGGCGGACGGGUGAGUAAUUUCUCGGAAACUGCCCAGUGGCGGGGGAUAACUACUGGAAACGGUAGCUAAUACCGCAUACCAUCGAACGGCCCCAGAUGGGAUUAGCUAGUAGGUGGGGUAACGGCUCACCUAGGCAACGAUCCCUAGCUGGUCGGAGAGGAUGACCAGCCACACUGGAACUGAUACACGGUCCAGACGCCUACGGGGGGCAGCAGUGGGGAAUAUUGCACAAUGGGCGAAAGCCUGAUCCAGCCAUGCCGCGUGUAUGAAGAAGGCCUUCGGGUUGUAAAGUACUUUCAGCAGGGAAGCGUUACUCGCAGAAGAAGCACCGGCUAACUACGUGCCAGCAGCCGCGGUAAUAC
rnacentral:rRNA from 1 species